CCUACGGGUGGCUGCAGUAAGGAAUAUUGGUCAAUGGAGGAAACUCUGAACCAGCCAUCCCGCGUGAAGGAUGAAGGGGCUCUGCCUUGUAAACUUCUUUUGUCUGGGGCGAAAAAGCUCGAUUUAUCGAGAACUGACGGUACCAGAAGAAUAAGCACCGGCUAACUCCGUGCCAGCAGACGCGGUAAUACGGAGGGUGCAAGCGUCAUCCGGUUUCACUGGUGCGUAGGGGUCCGUAGACGGCUGUGGAUAAAGGCUGUGGCGUAACCAUGGAAUUGCCAUUGAUACUGCAGAGCUUGAAUGAGGUUGAGGUUGGCGGAAUGUGACAUGUAGCGGUGAAAUGCUUAGAUAUGUCAUGGAACACCGAUUGCGAAGGCAGCUGACUGGACCUAUAUUGACGCUGAGGCACGAAAGCGUGGGGAGCGAACAGGAUUAGAUACCCCUGUAGUC
rnacentral:rRNA from 1 species